AUUGAACGCUGGCGGCAGGCCUAACACAUGCAAGUCGAACGCGUGGCGGACGGGUGAGUAAUGUCUGUGAAACUGCCUGAUGGUGGGGGAUAACUACUGGAAACGGUAGCUAAUACCGCAUACCAUCAGAUGUGCCCAGAUGGGAUUACAUGUUUGGUGGGGUAACGGCUCACCAAGGCGACGAGCCCUAGCUGGUCUGAGAGGAUGACCAGCCACACUGGAACUGAGACACGGUCCAGACGCGUACGGGAGGCAGCAGGGGGGAAUAUCGCGAAAUGGGCGAAAGCCUGAUGCAGCCAUGCCGCGUGUAUGAAGAGGGCCUUCGGGUUGUAAAGUACUUUCAGCGGGGAGGCGUUACCCGCAGAAGAAGCACCGGCUAACUCCGUGCCAGCAGCCGCGGUAAUUC
rnacentral:rRNA from 1 species